rnacentral:rRNA from 1 species
UUCCCAUUCCGAACAGAGAAGUUAAGCCCGAUUGCGCAGAUGGUACUGCAUUACUGUGGGAGAGUAUGUCGCCGCCUUUU